GCCUGCGCGCCCCGCGGGCAUCCUCAGGCUCGACCCGGGGACCGCGGGGACCCCAGCUCCCCUUCCUCACCUAAAAUUCUUGCUGCGCCCCUCCCUUGGUGCCUGGACCCGCGUCCAGCCCGCGGUCCCUUUGCUGGACCUGGGUGGCGUGCGGCCCUCCCCCGCCCCCGGCCUGGGUUCCUGCGCCCCCAGACCGAGCGCCCCUCUUUUGUAUUCCCCCUUUAAUCCCCCUCCCCCCAUUCCACCCAACUUCAGCCCCGGCACUGCGCCCCCCUUUCCCUGGCCGGGCUCGAUUGGCCGCUUCCUGAGCUGUCAGACUCGAGUCCCGCGCUCUUAUUGGGCGAGCCUAUGGCCUGGCGGCCGUGCCAAAGGAGGGCGCACCGAGUGGGGGGCGCCUGGGCCGCGACCGCCGCUGGGACUUGGAGACCCGAGUCCCCGGAGGGGCUUGAAAACCAUACCCGGAAAAGAACCGGGGAGAUGCAAAGACCGAGAACCUCUGAGGCGCAAGAAGACAGUGACAGAAAAGAUGGAGAUGCAGGGUCUUUUGUCAGCUCCUGGCAGUCUCCGCAAGGUGUCAGCGGGAAGAAUGUGGACCAGAGCAAGGUGGAGUCCCAGCUGGGGGCCAGGCCAGGAGAAGGAGCAGAUACAGACAGAGACAGCACCACAGCACCGACAGAGGCAGGAUGCAGCGGACUGUUCUGCCGGGCCAGGAACACCUAGGCCUGUGGAAUGAUGUGUCUACCCAAGUGCUCUGCCCCGGAACUGUCCAGCUGGAGGCUCUGGCAGUUAUACCCUGGGAGGGGAGGAGUGCGGGAAUUACAUCUCUACCCAAAGGGGAGAAACAGCCUUCCCUUCACCCUUCUCUACCCUGCGACCCUCUCCCCAGAGCUUCUGACAAGGAGCGAGGGGUCUGCUGAGCUGCCUUUUCUCUCCCUCUCUGCUGGUCAUUUGCAGAUUGGAAGAUAAACCUUGCCAGAUCCUGAUUAGGAGAAAAUUUCCCACAUCUAAACCGACUAACCCUUAAAUAGUGCGGCCUUGGAGUAACCCAUGAAUACCUAAAUCAUGAGCAACAUGAAUUCAGUCAACCAAAAUUCUAGAGCAUCCCCCAGGUGCAGAGCAUUGUUAGUUGCUACCUAGAGAGCGAGAUGACCAAACUGAGCCAGAAACUUACCAUCGGGGAGGCGGAAGAGCUAGACACUACCUCCAGGUCAGUGCAGAGUUCAGUGUUCUGCAGAGUCCGACAGCAUAUCCAGUGUUCAGAGAGAGAGGAGACAUCACACACCUCCUCUCUCUUUUUGAGGGCCAAAACCUCUGGAGGUGGAAUCUGGUCUAGCAGGGAGGAAUGAGUAAGGAAAAAGGGAGACAGGGCCAGUAUUGUGAAGCAAGCACUUCAUGUCUGUAAGCAUCUGAUUGUCAGAUAACCAUUCUGAGGAAUGCGUUGCUCUCUCCACUAUAAAAAUGAGAAAACAGACUUGGAGAAUAAAAGUUUGCCCAAGA